AGUUGGUGAUUAUGUUGUCCUUGGCCCUUGGUUGGGUAGAAUUGAUGAUGUUUUUGAUAAUGUCACAGUGAUGUUUGAUGAUGGUUCUGUAUGUAAAGUUAUGAAGGCUGACCCUUUACGUCUUAAACCAGUUGGUAGGAAUGGCCUUGAAGAUGGACAUUUUCCUUUCUAUCCUGGUCAGCGUGUAAAAGCUAGCUCAUCAUCAGUUUUCAAGAAUUCCAGAUGGUUAUCUGGCUCAUGGAAAGCAAAUAGGUUAGAAGGUACAGUAACUAAAGUUACUGUUGGUUCUGUCUUCAUCUACUGGAUUGCAUCUGCUGGAUAUGGGCCCGAUUCAUCCACUGCUCCAGCUGAAGAACAAAACCCAAAGAAUUUGAAACUGAUGUCUUGUUUUUCUCAUGCAAUCUGGCAACUAGGUGACUGGUGUCUUCUUCCUUCAUCAUCUUUUGCCUUAGACAAGCAAUUGUCAAAAUUACAACUAAGUGACUCCACCAAAACUGUAUCAGAAUCUUCUCAACCUUUA
rnacentral:misc_RNA from 1 species